ensembl:lncRNA
UGUGAAAGUGAAGUCACUCAGUCGUGUCCGACUCUCUGCGACCCCAUGGACCGUAGCCCACCAGGCUCCUCCGUCCAUGGAAUUUUCCAGACCACUGAAUUCUUCGUGAGAACCUUUCCUGCUUCAACUUUGCCAAAAAAUCAUAUGCUAACUAAAAACCUAACAAACUCACCUGGGAAGAUCUUGGGAAGAAUGGGACUUAGAAUGAGUAGCUGUAAGGAAAGUCAGAAAAUGUGACCCUUUGAAAGCGAAGUGAGCGCAAUACACAGCAAGUGGAUGAGUCAGCCCUUGCCGCCGGCAGCGGGGCCUCUCAAGAGUGUCACCUGUCUCCCCCCACACCCAUCAAGGAGUUAAAACAAGCUCUGGAAAAGAGCUCUGGAAUGUAACAGUUAAUAAGGUGAAUGCUCAGCAGGCAAUGAGUCAUAACAAAAGGCUUGUGCGGAAUCCAGAAGAGGGAUGACCACAAGGAUAGAAAUUAUAGUAUGUCUCCCACACUGUCCAAGGACAAAGAUGCUCUGAUUGGUCAGAGCUGUUCAUUUAGAGAGAAUUGUUCAAAGGACAGCCAAUUCAUCUUAGGAGAAAUGGGUGUAUAUCCUGAUAACAGCUCAUCCACUUUCUUUUAUACAAGUCUUUAUGGAGCACCUCCCAUGGGUCAGGGGCUAUACCAGCUGCUGGAGAGGUAACAGUGGGCAACACAAGCAUAGUACCUGCCCUUGAAGAGUCUCAGCAUCAUUUUCACUCACUCAGUUCCCAGCCUGUAAUUAGGAACGAUUUGUGGACUGGCCUGGUAAGGGGAGAGGACUCUGAGCAAAUGAUCAGAGCCAAUUAUUUUGCAAUUAGGCCUCCUGUUCUCACAUUAAUAACAUUCUAGUUUUGAGUCACUUAUGACUCAGAUGAGGGACAGGGAGGCCUGGCAUGCUCAAGUCAAUGGGGUCACAAAGAGUUGGACACGACUGGGCGACUGAACAACAAUGACUCAGAUGAGUGUAAAAUAGCCAAUUCUUCAGAGUUUGAUUUCCUAUGGACCUGUGGAUAUGCUGGACAAAUAUCCCUGGCCUGAGCCCAGGAGCUGCAACUCCUGAAGCCCAUGUGCCAUACAGCCCGGGUUCUGCAACAAGAGAAGCCACUGCAAUGAGAUGCCUGUGCACUGCAACUGGAGAGUAGCCCCAGCUUACAGAAACUAG